GGUGAUUGGCUCAGCUGGGAGAGCACUCCCGCGCAGGAGGGGUCGGCGGUUCGAUCCCGUCAUCACCUG
rnacentral:tRNA from 1 species